rnacentral:piRNA from 1 species
UACAAGGGCCAGAGAGUUGAAGUUGUGGAGU